GCGCUCGUAGUUCAGCUGGAUAGAGCGUCUGACUUCGAAUCAGGAUGUCGGGGGUUCGAAUCCCUCCGAGCGCACCA
rnacentral:tRNA from 3 species